rnacentral:tRNA from 2 species
CGCGGGAUGGAGCAGUCUGGUAGCUCGUCGGGCUCAUAACCCGAAGGUCGAAGGUUCAAAUCCUUCUCCCGCUACCA